rnacentral:rRNA from 1 species
CCUACGGGUGGCAGCAGUAGGGAAUCUUCCACAAUGGGCGAAAGCCUGAUGGAGCAACGCCGCGUGGGUGAAGAAGGUCUUCGGAUCGUAAAACCCUGUUGUUAGAGAAGAAAGUGCGUGAGAGUAACUGUUCACGUUUCGACGGUAUCUAACCAGAAAGCCACGGCUAACUACGUGCCAGCAGCCGCGGUAAUACGUAGGUGGCAAGCGUUAUCCGGAUUUAUUGGGCGUAAAGGGAACGCAGGCGGUCUUUUAAGUCUGAUGGGAAAGCCUUCGGCUUAACCGGAGUAGUGCAUUGGAAACUGGGAGACUUGAGGGGAGAAGAGGAGAGUGGAACGCCAUGUGUAGCGGUGACAUGCGUAGAUAUAGGGCAGAACACCAGGGGCGAAAGCGGCUCUCUGGUUUGUAACGGCCGCUGAGGUUCGAAAGCGUGGGUAGCAAACAGGAUUAGAUACCCGAGUAGUC